rnacentral:rRNA from 1 species
AUGGCGUCGGCGACGGACGCCCAAUCGGGAACAAGCGAUGGUGGUAGCGCUGCUGUGAAGUCAGAUCUGGGAGAUUUUUUGGAACAGUUGAACUUGGAAGAAGAAGAAUUCGAUGACCUGGUCAUCAAUGAGGAUGAUCCUGAAAUCAACGAAAGCGUCAGAUGGCUUGCCCUAGCUAGGGUUUAUACUGAUAAGUCCUUUAGCCAGACAGCUUUUUACAGGGAGAUGCGCGCGGCGUGGAAUACAGCCCAGCCGGUUAGGUUUCGGCCGGUUGGACCGAAUCUAUUCGUCGUGCAAGCUUCCUGUCUGGGUGAUUGGGAGCGCAUGCUUGAUCAGGGGCCAUGGCUAUUCAGGAAUAUGCUUGUGUUAAUGUGUUCAUAUGAUGGUUUCACUAAGGCCGAGGAAGUUCCAAUGGAUUUCAUGCCAAUCUGGCUACAAAUCCACAAACUUCCGGAAGGGUUCUGUAAGGGAAAGAUUGUGCAACAUCUGCUGCGGAAUUCUGGUGAGAUUAUGGAGAUGAGGCUUAAUGGAAAUACUAGAGGAGAUUAUGUAAGAAUUCGCAUCCGCCAUGAUAUUAGACAGCCUUUGACAAAAUUUGUUAGCAUCGUCAGAGGCGGGGAGAGGCAGGUGUUUCUGGUUCGGUAUGAGAAGCUGGCCAGAUUCUGCAGUGUAUGCGGCCUAAUUGGCCAUGAGUACAAAGAAUGUGGCAGCGGCAUUCAUGAGGACAAGGACAAGAAAUACGGGGCAUGGCUAUACGCUGAUGGACCCAACAGACAGCGUCAGGAGGAAAUGCCUGCGAGAGGAGGCACACGGCAAUAUGAGGCCACACCCCAGCAGGGGAAUAAGUCAGGGAAGGGGACGGUUGAUCCUGAAACAGUAGAUACAGCUACAAUUCCGUCAAAAACUGGCCGUACCUCUAUGCAGGUGGAUCCGGCGGCCAGAAAGAGAUUAGCCUUGGAUGUGGUGGGUGCUGAUGCGGUGCAUGGAGCCCAGAAACCAACGGAUGAGGUUCUUGCGGUGACACUUGGGAAAGGAGAGGAUGAUGGGACCAACUCUCCUAGUAGCAGCAAUGGAAGUAAGAGAGCAAAGACUAACUCAGAUAACAUAUCUGGCGAUAGAUCGGCGGCCUCCUUGGGGGAGGUCCGCCGGGCACAAUGA